CAGUGUCUUAACAAAGCUCUAAGUCUACAGGAAGUGAUUGGACCCCAUUUCCUGUCCUGGUACUGAGAUAACAUUGUAUCAAGCUGCAAAAGCACUUCCUGUCUCUCUCCCUCUAUGUGUGUCCCUGAAGCUCCGUCUUAAGAACAAACUAAAAAUAAUCCCCAGAUGCUUUGUUCAUCAGCUGUCCUUCUCCAAGAGGUGAUGUCAGACCAGCAAUUAGUUCAGCACAAUGGGAUAAAUAUAGCUGGGGGUCGAAGGUAAAACUCUCAUGAACAGCAGUGGCAGGCUUCCCCUUCUGCCGGAGCAUGAAAAUCCAUAAGACAAAUGAAGGAACGGGGGAAGGACAUUAGAAGGACUUCAGAGAGAGCAGGACCAUUCCAUCACCGGCUGCGACGUGAUAAACGAAGAGCAAAGAUAAACAGAAAGCGCGCGCGCUGCUCUGACAGGAUGAAUGAAGCUGCAACGUGUCCAAUCGGGAGCUGAAAACAAGAUGUAUCUUCAUUAAAUCUGUAGUAUGUCAAAACACUGGGACAAAAUGGGAAUAAACAUCAAUGAAUAG